GGGUAAUAGACGAAGGUUUUGGAGAGAGGUACUCCGUGGUGAUCAUGCUGGUGUUCCAGCUGUUGGUCUUUUGCAGUUUACUGGGUCUCUCAGAGCUGGUUUGAGAUGUUUCAAUAGAGGAACUGCUUAAAGUUGCAGUUUUGGCAGUGAUGGUGUGUUUGCUGUUGAAAGGAGGGUAGGAGGAGUAGCUUUCUGAAGAGAAAGAUCGCUGGAGGUUUUCUCCCGGUGCAGUUGCCAUGUUUUGUGUGGUCAACUCUGCAAGAGAGUUGAUAUGGUAUUCAUGGAUCAAGUUGUAAUCAUCCAAAUCCUGCUCGGUAAACCAUCUAUCUGACGCUAUAUCCAUUAGGGCAGGCUUCUUAAAGAACAGUAGGAGUAGAAGCUGUUAUUGCAAAGUGCAACUAAGCUAUUGUUUCUCAAGUGUCCUAAAAGAAGAUGCAGGCUUUAGGUCUUAUAGUUGUGUGCCACCCAUGAAUUCC
rnacentral:misc_RNA from 1 species